AAUGAACGUUAGCGGCGCGCCUGAUGCAUGCAAGUCGAACGGUCCUAACGCAAGUUAGGAUAGUGGCAAACGGCUGAGUAACGCGUAAGUAACUUACCUCUAAGUUCGGAAUAACCUGCCGAAAGGCAAGCUAAUACCGUAUGUGCUGAGGGAUUUAAUUUUUCAGUAAAGCUUUUACGCUUAGAGAGAGGCUUGCGUCUGAUUAGCUAGUUGGUUAAGGUAAUGGCUUACCAAGGCAAUUAUCAGUAGCUGGUCUUAGAGGACAACCAGCCAGACAGGGACUGAGACACGGCCCUGACUCCUACGGGAGGCUG
rnacentral:rRNA from 1 species